CCGUUCGGUUCCAUUUAUGCUUGUUGGCUCCACCACAAGUCCUUUUCAUUUCCCCUACCGAAUACAACCCUGUAAACAAAUGUUGAAAACACAGUCACUCCACGAUGGUCAAGUCAGUGUGAGUGAACCUGUUCCAUUCCUACUCGUACCGAACACUUAUGUCAAACGAGGUUCGAGCAGUUUGAACGCGGGCAAAACAUUUGCAGCCCUGAGUGCUUAACGCUCACCCACAGAUGUCACUAGGUUAGAGCAAACAUUAGGGUGCAGAAAAUUGAAGCAUAAACGUCAAUAAAAAAAUAUAAUCAUAGCUUUUGUAUGAGACCAAAAUCUUAUAAAAGCUAUGGUUAUCUCACACUACGACCUCUUUGGUGCCAGUUUCUCGAACGGAAUAGUAGUGCGCGCGUGGAUAACUACAAUAGUUUGAGAAUUAGAAUGGCCAAGAGACAGGUGCAAUCAAAUAAAGCAUCAAUGUAAAUAUCUAAAAGGAAAAAAGUACAAAAAUAUGUAAACAAUAACUGGCCUAGAAAACGAAACAAUUAUCAGUGAAACAAACAGAAAAACAUAGAAAAAGGUCCACACAAAGGGCCUUUUUCUUUCCGUCCUUUUUCCUAGGGCUCGGUGAAUUCCGUAAGGCCAGAAGUCCAACGAGUCCGCCCGAGAAGAUCCGAGGCCAAGCCAACCACAAUCGCCAUCUGGUUCGCCCGGCGUGUGGAAAUAUGCGUGCGUCGCUCCUCGUGGCGUGAAUCUUCGGCAAACCAACCCAAGUUAGCCAACAGCGGCCAGGGAGCCAAUCAUACCGGCAAUCGUCGGCAAUUUUCCCGAAUCACUCGGUCAGCGGGAUGCUGGCCACUGAUCCGCAUCAACAGACCGACCUUCCGACAACCGCAAGAUGCCGCAUCGAAUCGGCAAUUAAACACUCGUUGGAGACUGCCAACUCGACUCAAUCUGUUAACCGAGCAUCGCCCAUCUCACGACAUCCGCCGGCUGGCCAAUGUCGUCCGUCAACACCUACCACUUCGAAGGAUCCGGAUCCGUACCACCAAAAUGCAUGCAUGCAAUCCAGCUAAGUACCCACCUCAUGUGACGUCACAAUAGAGUAAUAAACCAUUUUGUUAGUUAAGCGAAA